CCCUUAGAUGUUCUGGGCCGCACGCGCGCUACACUGAUUCAUGCACUAAGUAUAUAACCUUGGUAGAAAUGCUUGGGUAAUCUUCGAAACUGAAUCGUGCUGGGGAUUGGAGCUUGUAAUUAUUCUCCAUGAACGAGGAAUUCCUAGUAAACGCGAGUCAUCAGCUCGCAUUGAUUACGUCCCUGCCCUUUGUACACACCGCCCGUCGCACCUACCGAUUGAAUGGUCCGGUGAAAUCUUCGGACCGCGCAACGCCGCAAGGUGAUGCGUGGAAAGUUGCUUAAACCUUACCGUUUAGAGGAAGGUGAAGUCGUAACA
rnacentral:rRNA from 1 species